UAAGUGAUGAUAACCAGCAAUGUAACGUUCUUUCAAGUGCAUCAGACACUACAAAUGGCUCUGAAGCAGCAUUCAGUGAGGUAAACUUUAAAAUAUUGUGAGAGUUUUGGUGAAACUGGUUGCAAAAUUGAGCAAGGGUGCAAAUAAGCAAAGAUCCACAAAGUCCCACUCUAAAGCAAUUUCGGUCAUUUUCAUGAGCAAGGGUGCAAAUAAGAACAGCACAAGAGACUUAGUAAUAUAGCAAAGAUUGGAUGAUGAUAACUAGUUUAUAUGGUUCUAUCACGUCCAUUCAAGGCCAUAUAAGAGGACCUAUGCGAGCAUGUGUCUAGUCCCAUAUCAGUUGUGCAAUGGAGAGAUUUGGGUACUUAAACUGGGCCAAGGAUACCAAAUAACAUUUUUUGGCUAGCAUUUUUGGGUGAGGUCCUGGGUCAUUACACCAAUAAAAGAAACAAUCAAGCAGGAUGUAAGUUGAGAACGCAGGAUAAAAAUUAAGAAUAUUAUAAAAAAAAGGUUCGGUAAUAAUAGUUGCAAACCAAGUAUCUAUCAUUUUUGAACUAUCAUGUGCAAGAAAGAAUAAAGCAUCAACCAGAACUUCCAACUGUGCCAAAAAUUUCACCAGCCAUCCCGUAUGCCAUUCUUGAGUUGCUCAGCUUUAAAAGUACCACACAGACAGAUGAGGUUGUACUAGUUGAAGCAAACUAGACAUAAAUUAGGAGGUUAAUAUGGAACCACUUGACAAACAUCUCUAGCUAUUUGUAAAUUUAACCAAAAAGCAAUUCACACAAUCCGCAAUAAUUAAACCAAGAACCAGUUACCAAAAC
rnacentral:lncRNA from 1 species